GACGAACCGUGCAAACGUUGUUCGGAAUCACUGGGCUUAAAGGGCGCGUAGGCGGGCAGGCAAGUCGAAGGUGAAAUCCCACGGCUCAACCGUGGAAGUGCCCCCGAUACUGCCUGUCUCGAGGGGGAUAGGGGCGUGCGGAACUUCCGGUGGAGCGGUGAAAUGCGUAGAUAUCGGAAGGAACACCGGUGGCGAAAGCGGCGCGCUGGAUCUCUUCUGACGCUGAUGCGCGAAAGCCAGGGGAGCAAACGGG
rnacentral:rRNA from 1 species